GUUCAAGUAUGCAGCUUUGGGUAACCAGGAUAAUUCGAGUCCGAUUCUCUUAUGAAGUCUAUUGAUGCGCAUAGUCAACUUGAAUAUGCAUAGUAUGCGGUUACGAUACUUCGAUGACAUAGCUUGUACUCCCUCGUAAUACUCAAUACAUCGUUGCAAGAAGAAUACAAUGUUUUGUUGCCAAUUGAGUAGUAAAGUUUGAUAGAUAAAGUAGGCAAACAUUACAUAUUCGAACAGCAGCCAGUAGAUACAACAAUUAAAUAUAUUUUUGUCGCCCAAAUGCUUCGCAUCUAUUAUUUGUAUGACAGCCAAGAAUAAUUUCACAAUGUAAAGGAUUAUCAGUAAUAUAGAAGAUUUCAUUAAUGAAAUGCUGCAUUGUCUGGCGAUCUUUUGCGUAGUGCAAAAACUUAUAACAAUGAAACGUAAAGUGUAAUGUAGCAGCCAAUAUCGCUAACCAGAUUAAAAGGUUCUGAGCGACCGCAUUUUCUGCUGAUGUGAUAAAACCAAUUAUCCCGAACUGAAUCGCAGCCAAACCAAUAAGAAUUAAGAUAUGAAUUUUGUGUUCCUCCAUGCGCUGGUUUUUUGAAUUGUAGCGCAUUUUAACAAAAUCAAGCGAGCGUGCAAUGAAAUAAAGCAGCCAGGCACUAUAUUGGAAAAACCGACGAUAUACCGCUUGAGCUCGGCGACUGCGUAUAAAGCGUGUGUCCUGUUUGGUCCACAUGACGACAAUUCAGUAUAUGAGAACUUUGCAUGUUUAUUUCUCCAAUUUUACUUUUUUUUUUUGGAUGGAAAUGUUUUGUUUAAUUUAUGUGAUCGUCUUUCGGAAUUAAUUGUUAAUGAUAUUCACAUAAGGCCUAUAAUGUGAAACAAUAAAGCGUAAUGAUGGUAAAUAAAA